rnacentral:lncRNA from 1 species
GAAGCUAAAGGAAAUCAGAUUUCUCUCCAUCUUCUCUCUCCUCAUUGCCGACCAGCCCUCUCCUCUCUCUAACUCCCUUGCUUCAAAAUUUCAGCUCACUAAUCUCACUCAAAACCACCCCAAAUCAUCUCCAAAUUCAACCAAACUUGCACCACACCUAGCUUGACACUUGAGGAGCAUUUUGAGCUGCAAACAAGGGCUGGAAAUCACGGUUUUUCUGGGGUAAUAGAGGGCCGAAAAUUCUGCUGAACAUCAACCCAAAGUAAGUGAUGAUCCACUCUUGGAAACUUGAAGUUUGGAAGCUAUCUUACCUUGUUAAGUUCAUGCAUGCAUUUGGUUAGCUUGAUAUGGAUGUAAAAUGUGAUAGUGGGCUCUUUGUAUUCCCACACUUGGGUUGUUGUUGCUGAUUUGAGGAUCAAUGUUGGAUUUAAUGGUAGUUUAAUGGUUAUAAUGAUGAAUUUAUGGAGUGUUAUUGUUGGGAACUCAAGUAGAGGUCAUGACCAGAAAUUGCCGAAUCUGCCCCUGUUUUGUUCGGCCAUGAUAAGGCCCAUUUUUGGUGAUUUAUUGGCAUAAUCCUGAUGUGUAUAUGUUAUAUUAUGUGUGUAGAAAUUUUCGUUGGAAAACAUUAAUGAUUGGAUGGGCAAAUGAAUUUAUUCAUGAACUAGGCAUGCUGGAAAAUUAUUUUCGGGUAAAACUGUCCAGUGGUUGUAUUUUGGCCAUAACUCUGUCCUCGGGUGUCGAAAUCAAGUGCCGUUGGUGGCGUUUGAAACUAGACAUUCCUAGCUUUAAUUUGAGAUAAAAUGCACGUUCUGAUUCUUUGUGAGUGAUCCGAACCAAACGUUUUAAGUUAGCUGUCCUGUCUCUCGGAUUUGCUGGAAUGGCUUGUUGAGGCAGCAACUUGAGGCUCAAUUUUGAGCUGGUUGCUUGCCAAAUUUCAGAAAAUUUCCUUCUGUGAACUUUUAUUCCCGUGAAUGUAUUUUCUAACGCCAUAAACCAUGCCUCAUUCCGAGUUAAAUUGAUUGAGUUGUGACUAAAACAAGAGGACUGCCCUGUUUUGGAAAAACGUAGUAUUUGGACUGAUUUGGGGCAAAACUUGGGAAUGAUUUUAUUAAUUGAAGUUCUUGAUGCUCAUCACUUACCAAAGGUAUCAUGGAUGUGUCUUAGACCUUUGUUUCACAAAUGAACCAUGUUCGGAUAGUUUUCUUGGUUAAACGAUUUGAAAUUGUGAAAUGAAAGUCACAAGGCAGAUUGCCUUAGAAUUUUUCCUGAACUUUGGUUGACUAAUUAACUACCUUCCCGAGGGUAUUUUUCCCUGAAAUUUGAUAGAGGGAUACCUUGCAUAUAGGAGUAAAAUACUACCAAUUUUGGCACCAAUUCAAGUUCGUUUCGAUACCGAAUUAAAUUGCUAGUGUUGGAGGUUCAAAACUGGAAAUUCUUCUUCAGUCUUGAAUCUUCCUCAACUUUGAGCUACCGUAUCUCGGUACUCGAAACUCCGAUUCUUGAUCCGCUUGUUUUGUUAUAAACCUCACCUGUGACACUAAUUGAGCUGUAAAUUUCAGAGGCCGGUUUGCAACAUGUGAAUCGUGCCGAAUUUCCAAAGUUGGCCGAAAUCCAACUUAAUUCUGCCUUGUACGCCGAACCUGUACCUUCAAGCUCAUUUUUGAAUACCUCCCACUUAGAUUCAUGGAAAAGUGUCUUUUAAGAACUUUUAUUACUUUCUAAGAGGUUUCCAACGGUACCAAGUUUUAUAAUUUUGGACCUACUGAGUGCAAGAUCUGAUUUUUCUAAAUUUGACGCGCAAAGCUGAAAUUUGCUGAUUUCUUAGAAAAUGAAAAUUUGAAAACUUGUUACUCCUUCUUGAUGAUAAUUGAUCGCUUUAAACUUGAUUUCAUGAAGGAAAUCAGUUUUUCUUGUGUUAAUAAAACCUCACUUUUGAACCUUUAUUUUGAGUGGCUAAGGUUCUUGGUUUGAGGUAUUGACUAGUCCAAAUAAGCGUAACUCCUUUCUUGAUUAAUACGUGAUUGUGAGUGAAAAAUACUUGUUAAUUGCUUCAGGUGCUCAAGCGAGUCUUGAAAAGAAUCCCGGAGGGGACAACUAAAGAUUUUCUCGCUCAAUUACUUUUGAAUUGGUGAGUGUCAAGUGCCUGACUUGUCGUGUUUACUUGAUUUACCUGCUUAUAUACGUGAAUAUCACUUGAUGAGACGAGUGUGUACUUUAUCGCACUCGCUCUCCUUUACUUGAACUUUACUUGUAUUAACUUGGUUUUCAAAGUCGAUUGAGUGAAUCUCGUCGACUAAAAUAUACCCGUUUUCGUGUGCGUGUCGUGUUGCCAUGCAUGUCGUGUACGUCGUGCGUGUCAUGUUGUCGGGUGGAGUGAACCUCCUCGACUUAUGGGGACGCCCAAUUCUCUUAACCAAUCUUACAACUCGAGCCGGCAUGGGCUUGGUCGAGAAGUUUGAUAAACCAAGAGAAUAACAAAACACAACUUGAUCUUUUGAGAUCUUGUUCGGCAUACUCGUGGAGUAUCGCCCUUUCCGUGCGUGUUCAAAAAUCAAAACUUGAUCUCUUGAGAUCUCGUGUGGCAUACUCAACGAGUAUCGCCUUUUUCGUGCGUGUUUGGUUUCGGAUCCGAGAGGGUGGAAUGUUGGUCGGAGGAAGUAAUAAGUGAAGUUUCUACGGAUAAAAUACCCACCAGGAUAACGGAGUGUCAUCACGAGGGGGUAUCGGAUCGAGCCGUGGCGAAGCAAGAGGAAAAUAGCUCCUGAGAGCUCCUAUAUCCUUGAAUUGUUUCUGUUUAUUUUUCUCGCUCGAAUUGUAAAUUACUUGAAUAUUGGGAUUGUUAUUUGGACAACGUGUUUGCAUGUGUGUUUUCUUGGCCUCACGAGCGUUUCGCUCACCCCGUAGAUUUGUUUUCCUUAACAGGAAUGGAUGGAGUGAAACUCGUUGGAACCCUUUGGAUGUACUUUUGUAUUAGGGUUUCAAUUGUAAUUGACUAGACAUUUUGGCUAUUGUAUAUAUUUG